CCUACGGGAGGCAGCAGUGGGGAAUCUUGCGCAAUGGGCGAAAGCCUGACGCAGCCAUGCCGCGUGAAUGAUGAAGGUCUUAGGAUUGUAAAAUUCUUUUAGCAGGGACGAUAAUGACGGUACCUGCAGAAAAAGCCCCGGCUAACUUCGUGCCAGCAGCCGCGGUAAUACGAAGGGGGCUAGCGUUGCUCGGAAUUACUGGGCGUAAAGGGAGCGUAGGCGGGUUAUCAAGUUGGAGGUGAAAGCCCAGGGCUCAACCUUGGAAUUGCCUUCAAAACUGAUAACCUAGAGGAUGAUAGAGGUAAGUGGAACUCCGAGUGUAGAGGUGAAAUUCGUAGAUAUUCGGAAGAACACCAGUGGCGAAGGCGACUUACUGGAUCAUUACUGACGCUGAGGCUCGAAAGCGUGGGGAGCAAACAGGAUUAGAUACCCUGGUAGUCCACGCCGUAAACGAUGAUUGCUAGUUGUCAGCCGGCAUGCGGUGGUGACGCAGCUACGACAUAAGUACAUCCGCCGUGGGUAGGUACGGUCGACGAAGAAUUAAACUAACAAACGAAGUAGACGGCGUGAGACGNGCCGACGGACGACGACGAGGGAGUAGG
rnacentral:rRNA from 1 species